rnacentral:rRNA from 1 species
GGGACAACCCGCCGAAAGGCGGGCUAAACCCGCGUACAUGCCACCGGGGCAUCCCGGAGGCAGGAAAGGCUUCGGCCGGACAGGGAUGGGCAUGCGGCGCAUUAGGCAGUAGGCGGGGUAACGGCCCACCUAACCGACGAUGCGUAGGGGUUCUGAGAGGAAGGUCCCCCACACUGGUACUGAGACACGGACCAGACUCCUACGGGAGGCAGCAGUGAGGAAUAUUGGUCAAUGGUCGGGAGACUGAACCAGCCAAGCCGCGUGAGGGAUGAAGGUACAGAGUAUCGUAAACCUCUUUUGUCAGGGAACAAAGGCGGGGACGUGUCCCUGGAUGAGUGUACCUGAAGAAAAAGCAUCGGCUAACUCCGUGCCAGCAGCCGCGGUAAUACGGAGGAUGCGAGCGUUACCCGGAUUUAUUGGGUUUAAAGGGUGCGCAGGCGGUCUGUUAAGUCAGCGGUCAAAGCCCGGGGCCCAACCCCGGCCCGCCGUUGAAACUGGCAGUCUCGAGUUGGAGAGAAGUAUGCGGAAUGCGCGGUGUAGCGGUGAAAUGCAUAGAUAUCGCGCAGAACUCCGAUUGCGAAGGCAGCAUGCCGGCUCCACACUGACGCUGAGGCACGAAAGCGUGGGUAUCGAACAGGAUUAGAUACCCUGGUAGUCCACGCAGUAAACGAUGAAUGAAGGCUGUCCG